rnacentral:lncRNA from 1 species
UGUUUAUAAUGUAUUGUUGCUUUGCUUCUAUCUAGAAAACGUUUCCGUAGCUUGAUGGCAAAAACUGAGAGACUUAGGAGGAGUUUCUUUCCCCAGGCCACCAGGCUGCUAAAUUCUAACCCGGUGUUACACAUUACGUGAUUUUUUCGUAUUUAUCAUUGUAGUAGUCAUAUUCAUAAGUACAUCAUAUUGCUGCUAUUCUUAUUACCUUGUAUAAUUUUUUACACAUCUUUUUUUUGCACACUUUUUUUUCUUCUUUUUCCUUAAUAUUUAAUUUUUGUUUAUCUAUACUUGCACUCUGGAGCGGACCUGACCUACAUUUCACUGCUGGUCAUACUUUGUAUAACUAUGUAUGUGACAAAUAAAACUUGACAUGACUUGACUUGACUGUUGGGCUAAUCCCAAAGUUAUUUCUGUGUAUCCUGUAGAGGGCGCUGACUGUGUAAAGGAUUCUGAACGGAGCAGCUCGGGUCAGAGUUCAUUAAAGACCGCAGAGCUCCUUCACUUGUCUGCAGCGCCAUAUGUCUCUACAUUCCUUCCACAUUCCUUCUCGCCUGAACGUGAAGAUAAACCCGAUGCUUUCACUCGACUGAUGUGUAUCUUUCAUUUGAUGUGACGUUGAAUGGCCUGUGACAGCGAAGGUCCCCCUUUUUUUCCAAUCCAUCUCGAUGCUUGUGCAGGAGACUGUUGGGUUCGUGGGUGAGGCUCUUCCAGGUCCAUCAGGCUGAACAAACUUCAGACGGCAUAAAAGGCUUUUCUCAAAAGCAAACGGAAGUCAUCCAUUUUCAAUGAGAGAUGACACGAGUGACAGCUGGCGAAAUGACAGGCCCCUAACCGUAAGUAUAAGUAUGGUCCAUAAGGUACACUGUAAAAAAUGUCCAUGAUUUCAAUGGUAAAAAUCUGUGAAGUUGUUAAAAUCUACAAUAAAAAAAUGUAACCUGCCAGCAAAAAAAAAAAAUACUCUAAUUGCAACAGUAAAAAAAAAAAAUGUAAAAAUACAUAAAUAUAGUAACAAUCUGUUUCCUUCUAUAUAUAAAUUAAUUACGGUUAAUAACUGAAAAUUGACUUUCCCAGAAUCCCACUGUAAAAAAAAAUGUGAUUUUAAUGAUAAAAAUAGUAAAGUAUCUCUGCAAUUCCAGUGGUAAAUAAAAAACUAUUAAAAUACUACAGUAACAAUCUGUUACCUCAACAUAUAUAAGGUUAAUAACUGUAAAUUGACUUUCC